GGGAUCACACAAGCGGUGGAGCAUGUUGUUUAAUUCGAAGCAACGCGAAGAACCUUACCUACUCUUGACAUCUACAGGAUCCUGCGGAGACGCGGGAGUGCCUUCGGGAACUGUAAGACAGGUGCUGCAUGGCUGUCGUCAGCUCGUGUUGUGAAAUGUUGGGUUAAGUCCCGCAACGAGCGCAACCCUUAUCCUUGUUUGCCAGCGAGUAAUGUCGGGAACUCCAGGGAGACUGCCGGUGAUAAACCGGAGGAAGGUGGGGACGACGUCAAGUCAUCAUGGCCCUUACGAGUAGGGCUACACACGUGCUACAAUGGCGCAUACAGAGGGCAGCAAGCUAGCGAUAGUGAGCGAAUCCCAAAAAGUGCGUCGUAGUCCGGAUCGGAGUCUGCAACUCGACUCCGUGAAGUCGGAAUCGCUAGUAAUCG
rnacentral:rRNA from 1 species